UACAGAGGGUGCAAGCGUUAAUCGGAAUUACUGGGCGUAAAGCGUGCGUAGUCGGUUAUUUAAGUCGGGUGUGAAAUCCCCGGGCUCAACCUGGGAAUUGCAUUCGAUACUGGAUAGCUAGAGUUCGGCAGAGGGAAGCGGAAUUUCGGGUGUAGCGGUGAAAUGCGUAGAUAUCAGGAGGAACACCGGUGGCGAAGGCGGCUUCCUGGACAAUAACUGACGCUGAGGCGCGAAAGCUAGGGGAGCAAACAGG
rnacentral:rRNA from 1 species